GACGUAGGGCGCGAGCGUUGUCCGGAUUUAUUGGGCGUAAAGAGCUCGUAGGCGGCUCGUUGCGUCGGCUGUGAAAACCCGCAGCUCAACUGUGGGCUUGCAGCUGAUACGGGCGGGCUGGGAUUCGGUAGGGGAGACUGGAAUUCCUGGUGUAGCGGUGAAAUGCGCAGAUAUCAGGAGGAACACCGGUGGCGAAGGCGGGUCGCUGGGACGUUACUGACGCUGAGACGCGAAAGCGUGGGGAGCAAACAGG
rnacentral:rRNA from 1 species